ensembl:lncRNA
CUUCCAUCACCGUGACCGUGGACUGCAAGUCGCAUUUAUUCGCCUCCGAAGAAGAAGAAUGUCAGCUGAACACGACCACGAUACCUCUAUUAAUCCCGCUUUAUAGCAAUCCACGUGAUUGCUGAGGGGCUGCAGGUGCGGCUGAUCAGUCCGAUGGGGAGGGCGGUACCUGGAGCAGCACACAAAACAGCAGAGGAAAAACACACACACGUAACAACAGUCAUGCCAAAGACACGAGGAACCAGAAGAACCGACAAGAGCCAAAACCCUGAUGACCUGCUGCAGUCUGAUAAUGAAGUUGUAGAGAUUCAACCGAAAGGCUCUGCUCCAACCAUGGCUAAGUUACGGGAGGACUAUAAAUUACUGAAAGAGGAGAAUCGGCUUCUGAAAGAGGAUGAACCGGCUUCUGAAAGAGGAGCGGGAUUUCCUUAGGGAAAAAGGUCUCAACCCUGUGAAGACUGGCCCUUCAACAACUUCUAAAGGGUCCCACGAAAGGAUGGUUAAGGAUUCUUCAGACUCUUCGGCAUCUGACUCUGAGACAGACUCCUCCUCCUCUGAAGGAGGGAAGAGGAAGAGGAAGAAGAAGAAGACGAUCAAGAAAACCCGCACAGCAUUUGGGAAAAGAGUUCAGAAUCCAGAGGACGUUGUGCACCGGUACCGAGCUGUCCUAAAAGAGUUUAGGCGCACCAGGAGCAUGAGCCUGAGCUGUGAAGUACUGAACGUGGACAGGAACACAAUUGCCUUGACGGCCAUCAUUGCCGAAAUCUUUAUUGGCGCAGAAGGUGAAGACUUCGGGCAACUGCCAGUGUUCAUUGAAGGAGACACUGUAGGCAAUUAUGCUAAAACCUGCAAGGCCUUCUGAGGGCAACCAACUUCUUGGGGAAAAAAUAAAAAAAAUGAAAAACAACUCGGAGCUGCUCCCCAUGAAAUAUAAAUUCCGAAAGUGAGGGGCCACACCAGGGUUCUGUGUUUUUGUUUUCGGUGUUAGGGAGUUGUCCCUGUUAAAUUUUAUUAAACAUUGCUUUCUUUUA